rnacentral:rRNA from 1 species
AUUGAACGCUGGCGGCAUGCCUUACACAUGCAAGUCGAACGGCAGCACGGGUGCUUGCACCUGGUGGCGAGUGGCGCACGGGUGAGUAAUACAUCGGAACAUGUCCUGUAGUGGGGGAUAGCCCGGCGAAAGCCGGAUUAAUACCGCAUACGAUCUACGGGUGAAAGCGGGGGCCCUUCGGGCCUCGCGCUAUAGGGUUGGCCGAUGGCUGAUUAGCUAGUUGGUGGGGUAAAGGCCUACCAAGGCGACGAUCAGUAGCUGGUCUGAGAGGACGACCAGCCACACUGGGACUGAGACACGGCCCAGACUCCUACGGGAGGCAGCAGUGGGGAAUUUUGGACAAUGGGCGAAAGCCUGAUCCAGCGAUGCCGCGUGUGUGAAGAAGGCCUUCGGGUUGUAAAGCACUUUUGUCCGGAAAGAAAUCCUUGGCCCUAAUACGGUCGGGGGAUGACGGUACCGGAAGAAUAAGCACCGGCUAACUACGUG